ACGAUGUCCGCUGAUCGUUUCCGUGGAAAUCUUAGCAUUGCUUUAGCCGUCAAGCUAAAGGUUUAGCUUCAUACUGCCAUAUUUUCAGAGUAACAAAAUAUUUAAACGGUCUCAGAUCAUGGACAGUGAAGUGUCUGACACUGACCAUGUAGCAGUGCCUGAGAACACUGGUAUGGAGGGGGAGAACGCACCUCUUUACUGUAUUUGUCGGAAACCAGACAUCAACUGCUCCAUGAUGCUUUGCCAUGAUAAAUUGGUCAGUUGACAACCAGGAGCCGUACACCUUAACCUCAGAGGCCAGGACAUCCAGGGGCAGUGUGAACACGCACUUGUUUAAAUGGGACGCAAGACGGACCUCACAGCCCUUUGUUCCUUCAGUGGGCUGGUUUCAGUCAUUAUGCAAAUGUACUGUUUAUAAGGUUGGGGAAACCUG